AAUGCCGGAUGCUCCAGUUGAUCGCAUGGUCUUCUGGGAAAGCUUUCGCGGUAUGGGAUGGGGUCGCGUCCUAUCAGCUUGACGGCGGGGUAACGGCCCACCGUGGCUUCGACGGGUAGCCGGCCUGAGAGGGCGACCGGCCACAUUGGGACUGAGAUACGGCCCAGACUCCUACGGGAGGCAGCAGUGGGGAAUAUUGCACAAUGGGCGCAAGCCUGAUGCAGCGACGCCGCGUGAGGGAUGGAGGCCUUCGGGUUGUAAACCUCUUUUAUCGGGGAGCAAGCGAGAGUGAGUUUACCCGUUGAAUAAGCACCGGCUAACUACGUGCCAGCAGCCGCGGUAAUACGUAGGGUGCAAGCGUUAUCCGGAAUUAUUGGGCGUAAAGGGCUCGUAGGCGGUUCGUCGCGUCCGGUGUGAAAGUCCAUCGCUUAACGGUGGAUCCGCGCCGGGUACGGGCGGGCUUGAGUGCGGUAGGGGAGACUGGAAUUCCCGGUGUAACGGUGGAAUGUGUAGAUAUC
rnacentral:rRNA from 1 species